AUAAGGAGAUUGACUUCAGGUGCUCAGGCGAGGAGAGCUGCUGGAAUGCCGUCAUUACAAUGGCUCUGAUUGACUUUCAGAACAGAAAAGCCAUUCAGGACUUUAAAACGCUACAGGAAUCGGAGAACACUUCUCUGGGACAGCAGGAGAGAUGCAAGGCUAGAGCACCUUGAGAUGUUUCCAAUCCAAGCCGAACAUGAGAUACAGCGAACUGAAUCUUGAAGCUUGGACCAAAGCGAAGCUUUGACGAUGUCUGAAAGGAGCUCAUGUGCUCAGAGUCUGGACUGUCGUUGAGCUGGUCCGUGAAGGUCUUCGGAAUAAACCUGCAAUGAUUUCAACAAGCAAAACCCUCAAAAACACUCAAGACUGAAUCCUUGAACUUUCUUAAGUGCCUCCAUAAGGCUGCGGAUAUGUACAUGUAAAUGUAUCUAUUUAUUUUUUACAAAGGAAUGCUGCAAAUACCAAUGUUGUACUAAGUUAUUUCAUGAUGUGUGUAUUUAUUUAAAUAAAUUAGCAUAAAACUGAGUUUGAA